GUUGUAAAUACUAUAUUUGCGGGUGUGCAGUUUGUGAUUCUCUAUUCAUGAUAUUUAGAUAGAUCGGAUUCGUUCCUUUAUAGCAUACACGGACUUGAAUUAUUUUGUCAUUGAUGAAUAUGCAUAAUGUACUUUAAUUUGUUGAGAUUUCAAAUGAGGUCGUAGGAAUCAAAAUGGAACUCUCAUGUGGCUGAUAUCGGUUUUAUAUUAUAUUUUUAGAUGAAAUUUCUAUAUUUACUUAUCUCAAGAUAUAUUUGAUUUCAUUUUUGUCUCUUGAGACAAGGAGCGAGCAAACUGUUGAUUUUGCAGAGAACAAUUGUCACUGAAUUGCUUUCAAGGCGGAUGUUCCAUAGACAAACAAGCAUGCAAUCAACACUGCAUGAUUUCAAUUGGUUUCCAAUCCUGGAGAGAAGGAACGAUAUGAGCUAAAAGAUGCAGAAAAAGAGGAUUAGGCCCGCAGAUUGUUAUCAAGGAGAACAUUGAGCUAUGAGGGUGUUUUUUCGGGCAACACCGGCGAUGGUCUCAGCAGCUAUAUGAUGGUGAACUGUAGUUGUCGUAAUAUUCUAAGAAAUAUAUUAUGAUUAAUUUUUACUUACCUAUCCGAUUUUUUUCAUUGCGAUGAUCUGAUAGGCCCCAUAUAGGUGUCUGGAUUGUAAUAGGUAUUUUUCUGGGUUAAGAAGGAAGAAUGUUUCGGGUGUUCAUUAAGAUUAUUCUUGAUUGGUGAACUGC